rnacentral:rRNA from 1 species
AUCGGUGCCCAUGGCGCUAGGGAAACACCUGUUACCAUGCCGAACACAGCAGUUAAGCCUAGUAGCGGUUAAAAUACUUGGGUCCUCAAGCCCUGGGAAAAUAGCACGGUGCCGGAU